rnacentral:rRNA from 1 species
AGAGUUUGAUUAUGGCUCAGGAUAAACGCUGGCGGCGCACAUAAGACAUGCAAGUCGAACGGACAGAAUCUGAAUGUUUCAUUUGGAGGAUGUUAGUGGCGGACUGGUGAGUAACGCGUAAGGAACCUGCCUAUUAGAGGGGAAUAACAGUGAGAAAUCAUUGCUAAUACCGCAUAUACCAUAAUAGUUGCAUGACUAAAAUGGGAAAGGAGAAAUCCGCUAAUAGAUGGCCUUGCGUCUGAUUAGGUAGUUGGUGGGGUAAAGGCCUACCAAGCCGACGAUCAGUAGCCGGACUGAGAGGUUGAACGGCCACAUUGGGACUGAGAUACGGCCCAG